UACGGGGGGGGUAAGCGUUGUUCGGAAUUACUGGGCGUAAAGGGCUCGUAGGCGGCCAACUAAGUCAUACGUGAAAUCCCUCAGCUUAACUGGGGAACUGCGUGUGAUACUGGAUGGCUUGGAUUUGGGAGAGGGAUGCGGAAUUCCAGGUGUAGCGGUGAAAUGCGUAGAUAUCGGGAAGAACACCAGUGGCGAAAGCGCUCUACUGGGCCAUAACUGACACUGAGGGACGAAAGCUAGGGGAGCGAAAGGG
rnacentral:rRNA from 1 species